rnacentral:rRNA from 1 species
UAACAGGAACAGCUUGCUGCUUCGCUGACGAGUGGCGGACGGGUGAGUAAGGGGGGGAAACUGCCUGAUGGAGGGGGAUAACUACUGGAAACGGUAGCUAAUACCGCAUAACGUCGCAAGACCAAAGAGGGGGACCUUCGGGCCUCUUGCCAUCGGAUGUGCCCAGAUGGGAUUAGCUAGUAGGUGGGGUAACGGCUCACCUAGGCGACGAUCCCUAGCUGGUCUGAGAGGAUGACCAGCCACACUGGAACUGAGACACGGUCCAGACUCCUACGGGAGGCAGCAGUGGGGAAUAUUGCACAAUGGGCGCAAGCCUGAUGCAGCCAUGCCGCGUGUAUGAAGAAGGCCUUCGGGUUGUAAAGUACUUUCAGCGGGGAGGAAGGGAGUAAAGUUAAUACCUUUGCUUUUUGACGUUACCCGCAGAAGAAGCACCGGCUAACUCCGUGCCAGCAGCCGCGGUAAUACGGAGGGUGCAAGCGUUAAUCGGAAUUACUGGGCGUAAAGCGCACGCAGGCGGUUUGUUAAGUCAGAUGUGAAAUCCCCGGGCUCAACCUGGGAACUGCAUCUGAUACUGGCAAGCUUGAGUCUCGUAGAGGGGGGUAGAAUUCCAUGUGUAGCGGUGAACAUUUUUAUUUUUUUUUUUAUUUUCUUAUUUUUUUCUUUUGAAU